GAGUUUGAUCGUGGCUCAGAUUGAACGCUGGCGGCAGGCCUAACACAUGCAAGUCGAGCGGUAGAGAGAAGCUUGCUUCUCUUGAGAGCGGCGGACGGGUGAGUAAUGCCUAGGAAUCUGCCUGGUAGUGGGGGAUAACGCUCGGGAAACGGACGCUAAUACCGCAUACGUCCUACGGGAGAAAGCAGGGGACCUUCGGGCCUUGCGCUAUCAGAUGAGCCUAGGUCGGAUUAGCUAGUUGGUGAGGUAAUGGCUCACCAAGGCGACGAUCCGUAACUGGUCUGAGAGGAUGAUCAGUCACACUGGAACUGAGACACGGUCCAGACUCCUACGGGAGGCAGCAGUGGGGAAUAUUGGACAAUGGGCGAAAGCCUGAUCCAGCCAU
rnacentral:rRNA from 1 species